rfam:Penicillium marneffei ATCC 18224 scf_1105668340764 genomic scaffold, whole genome shotgun sequence.
GCGAUUUUUGAGGAUGUCCUUUGUUCGCUAUUUUGCCCUCCAACGACAUCUGAGUCUGGAGAGGAAACAAAGACUAGUC